rnacentral:rRNA from 1 species
UGGGAAUAUUGGACAAUGGGCGAAAGCCUGAUCCAGCAAUGCCGCGUGAGUGAUGAAGGCCUUAGGGUUGUAAAGCUCUUUUACCCGGGAUGAUAAUGACAGUACCGGGAGAAUAAGCUCCGGCUAACUCCGUGCCAGCAGCCGCGGUAAUACGGAGGGACUAGCGUUGUUCGGAAUUACUGGGCGUAAAGCGCACGUAGGCGGCUUUGNAAGUUAAGGUGAAAGCCUGGAGCUCAACUCCAGAAUUGCCUUUAAGACUGCAUCGCUCGAAUCCAGGAGAGGUGAGUGGAAUUCCGAGUGUAGAGGUGAAAUUCGUAGAUAUUCGGAAGAACACCAGUGGCGAAGGCGGCUCACUGGACUGGUAUUGACGCUGAGGUGCGAAAGCGUGGGGAGCAAACAGGAUUAGAUACCCCUGGUAGUCCACGCCGUAAAACGAUGAUAAACUAGCUGUCCGGGGACUUGGUCCUUGGGUGGCGCAG